rnacentral:rRNA from 1 species
GAUGAACGCUGGCGGCGUGCUUAACACAUGCAAGUCGAACGGUGAAGCAGGAGCUUGCUCUUGUGGAUCAGUGGCGAACGGGUGAGUAACACGUGAGCAACCUGCCCCUGACUCUGGGAUAAGCGCUGGAAACGGCGUCUAAUACUGGAUAUGUGAUGUGACCGCAUGGUCUGCAUCUGGAAAGAAUUUCGGUUGGGGAUGGGCUCGCGGCCUAUCAGCUUGUUGGUGAGGUAAUGGCUCACCAAGGCGUCGCCGGGUAGCCGGCCUGAGAGGGUGACCGGCCACACUGGGACUGAGACACGGCCCAGACUCCUACGGGAGGCAGCAGUGGGGAAUAUUGCACAAUGGGCGGAAGCCUGAUGCAGCAACGCCGCGUGAGGAUGACGGCCUUCGGGUUGUAAACCUCUUUUAGCAGGGAAGAAGCGAAAGUGACGGUACCUGCAGAAAAAGCACCGGCUAACUACGUGCCAGCCGCCGCGGUAA